GUGCCAGCAGCCGCGGUAAUACAGAGGGUGCAAGCGUUAAUCGGAAUUACUGGGCGUAAAGCGCGCGUAGGUGGUUCGUUAAGUUGGAUGUGAAAUCCCCGGGCUCAACCUGGGAACUGCAUCCAAAACUGGCGAGCUAGAGUAGGGCAGAGGGUGGUGGAAUUUCCUGUGUAGCGGUGAAAUGCGUAGAUAUAGGAAGGAACACCAGUGGCGAAGGCGACCACCUGGGCUCAUACUGACACUGAGGUGCGAAAGCGUGCGGAGCAAACAGGAUUAGAAACCCCUGUAGUCC
rnacentral:rRNA from 1 species